GGCAUCAGGGACAUUGUAACCAAGGGCUUGGAAGAUUUUCCCUCAAUGGGUGGCGCGAACGGCAAUGCUAAUGAGCGUAAAUCUGAUACAGAGGAUAUUGAUGGCAUCCAGGACAUUGUUACCAAGGGCUUGGAAGAUUUUGACUCUAAGGGUGUCGCGGACGGCAAUGUUAAUGAGCAUAAAUCUGAUACAGAGGAUACUGACGGCACCCAGGAUAUUGUAACCAAGGGCUUAGAAGAUUUUCGCUCUAAAG